UACGUAGGGUGCAAGCGUUUAUCCGGAAUUAUUGGGCGUAAAGAGCUCGUAGGCGGUUUGUCGCGUCUGCUGUGAAAACUGGAGGCUCAACCUCCAGCCUGCAGUGGGUACGGGCAGACUAGAGUGCGGUAGGGGAGAUUGGAAUUCCUGGUGUAGCGGUGGAAUGCGCAGAUAUCAGGAGGAACACCGAUGGCGAAGGCAGCACUCUGGGACGUGACUGACGCUGAGACGCGAAAGCGUGGGGAGCAAACAGG
rnacentral:rRNA from 1 species